GAGGGCUUUCGGAUGCAUGCGUUGGCCCCACGUAUAAGGAGACAGCCUGUGGUACGCCUACACGUGGUUCUGAAGACCAGGAAUGAAGUCUCAUGCGGCCAUCAACGUGUAAGCCAGCGGAGGCUGCUCUUGCUGUCGAGACUGCUCUACAGACCCAUCCCCGUCACUCUGAGUGGGGCUUUUCAGAUGCCCUUUAUAGCAACUACAAAGCACAGCUUUCUCCGGCUGAGAUGAGUUUGCCAGGAAGGUGGCCUCUGCCCGGGAGAGGGCUUGGCGAUACGAGAACUGCCCCAACGUCUGCAGUCCUACGUUGCCCCAGACAUUUUCCUCAACUCGGGAGAAGAAUCUCAGCAGAAAUAUUGCAAUAAAAGGAAGGAGUAAUGAUUCUGCGCUGCCCUAUUGCGUGUGGGAACGGCACACGUGCUACGCUAACAAAUUUAUAAGCCAGAGUAAUGCAACAAGCCUGCUGCUACCUCACAUCUGCGUGCACCUAUGGACAGUGCUCUGUGUCUGGCUGCCUUUAUCUCGCCCACAUGUCUCUGUGGAGAAAAGACUGUCUUUGGCAGGAAAUAUGUUCCCAGCCUUUCCCAGAGAGGACAUGACUGGCUGCAAGGACGGAUGAGAGCUGUAGACAAG